AAAGAUUAAGCCAUGCAUGAUCUAAGUAUAAGCAACUAUACGGUGAAACUGCGAAUGGCUCAUUAAAUCAGUUAUCGUUUAUUUGAUAGUACCUUACUACAUGGAUAACCGUGGUAAUUCUAGAGCUAAUACAUGCUAAAAACCCCCACUUCGGAAGGGGUGUAUUUAUUAGAUAAAAAACCAAUGCCCUUCGGGGCUCCUUGGUGAAUCAUAAUAACUUAACGAAUCGCAUGGCCUUGCGCCGGCGAUGGUUCAUUCAAAUUUCUGCCCUAUCAACUUUCGAUGGUAGGAUAGUGGUCCUACCAUGGUAU
rnacentral:rRNA from 1 species